UACGGGAGGCAGCAGUGGGGAAUAUUGGACAAUGGGCGCAAGCCUGAUCCAGCAAUACCGCGUGUGUGAAGAAGGCCUGCGGGUUGUAAAGCACUUUCAAUUGGGAAGAAAAGCCUGAGGAUAAUACCCUUGGGUCUUGACGUUACCUUUAGAAGAAGCACCGGCUAACUCCGUGCCAGCAGCCGCGGUAAUACGGAGGGUGCGAGCGUUAAUCGGAAUUACUGGGCGUAAAGCGCGCGUAGGCGGCUUGUUAAGUCAGAUGUGAAAGCCCUGGGCUCAACCUGGGAACUGCAUUUGAUACUGGCAGGCUAGAGUAUGGUAGAGGGAAGUGGAAUUCCGGGUGUAGCGGUGAAAUGCGUAGAUAUCCGGAGGAACAUCAGUGGCGAAGGCGACUUCCUGGACCAAUACUGACGCUGAGGUGCGAAAGCGUGGGUAGCAAACAGGAUUAGAUACCCUGGUAGUCCACGCCGUAAACGAUGUCAACUAGCCGUUGGGCUCAUUAUAAGGGCUUAGUGGCGCAGCUAACGCGAUAAGU
rnacentral:rRNA from 1 species